AAGACAAUACUUUCAGGGAUCAUUUCUAUAGUAUGUGACUAGAGAAGUUUCUCUGAUCGUGUAGAGCACCCAAAGCCACGAGGAGGAGCCAGAGUAUCCUCUCCUGAGCUCUAGGUGUUGCUUUUGCGACCGCCUUUUGCCAUUGAUUAUCGUUCUUCCCUUCCUUUGGAAGGGAUAGAAAAAAUAAAAAAACAAACAAGUGGA